UAUUGUUCUGAGAUCUUGGUAGGUGGCUGGCAGUUUGAUCCCAGCUGAUAAUGAUCUGUCCUCCUUCCUGCUCCUGACCUUCCUCUCCUUCCCUCCCUCACUCAUUCUCUCUCUCUCUCUCCCUCCCCCCAGGUGUGCCCACUGAUCCACACCUUACUCUCCAACCUGGAUGGGCGUAUUAUUCAGGACAUCAUUGAUAAAUUUCAGAAGGAAGACCACGGGCCUAAUGCUGCCUGAAGAGAGAGAUGAGGAAGACUGCUGGUGAGGCCCACCUGAAGAUCGGUUCCAGUGGCUCAAUGGUGUCCCUUAUAGCAUUUCCAUCCUGGCAGAUGCAGCCACCUUCCAAUCAGAGUGACAGCCUGAGCACAGCCAGCAGCCCUCCCAGACACUCCUCCUCACAGUAGGAACGGCAGCCUCUGUGCUCACCACCCUCCAUCCCCUGCAAUAAAAAACCAUUUCUGCACCCUCCUGUGUGGCA
rnacentral:lncRNA from 1 species